UCGUUGUCUUUCAAUCUAAAAAUAACCUUCCUUGAAACUCCCUUCUGACCACCAAGGUUCAGCUCAGCUACUACUUAAAAACAUCAAAUCUGUAAAUUACACCAAUUGCAAUAAAACUGUCACCAUCCCAUGCUACGUUACCAACAUAGGAUCAGAUGACAGUAGAGAGUUUUUCGUAAAAUGGAACUUUAAAGGAAAAUCUGUUCUUGUCUUUAAUGGACCCGACCAAAAAUACAUUACAGGCAGUGGCUUUUCAAGUGCAAGAAUCAGUGCCCGGGAAUUACUAAAAGGAGAUGUCUCUUUGCACAUGGAUAAAGAUGAUGCUAAAUUAGGAACCUACACAUGUGAAGUAACAGAAUUAAGCCGAGAAGGAGAAACAAUGAUAGAACUGGAAUACCGUUCUGUUUCGUGGUUUCCUUCAAAGGAAUAUACUCUUAUUAUUGCUCUCCCGAUUGUGGCUAUAACUCUGUUCUGGGCACAGGUUGGUUUUAUAAUGCUUAAAUAUAAACACAGUCUUACGGAUAAGAACAUUAUUAUUUUAUCACUUAAUGGACUACUGCUCAUCACAGCUGUCAUACUUGGAACCCUUUUUUUCACCCCAGGUGAAUAUUCACAAAACAGAGUUCGUGGGCUUCAUUUCCUUGUAAGUCCUUCAGUGAUGUUAGUAUUACUUCAGUUCUAUAGGGUUACUCCAGGUGAUGGGAUCACUGCCGUAUUACCUGUGAUUCAGUUGCUGGGCUAUAUAGUUGCAGCAAUUGGACUAUACCUUUGUGCCUCUGCAUGUGUAGCAGCGCAUGGCCCACUUUUAAUUUCAGGUUUGAUUAUCAUUGCUCUAGUAGAAUUAUUUGGACUAGUUUACCUGAUAUUUAUGGUUCCGGAGAUAUAACCUCCACAAGACAAGAAGGUACAGGCAGUGCUGUCUUUCUUUAUUCUUAUACUGUCUCUCGGUGGAUUUUAAGUAUACAACCAUGUGUCUGUCUCUCUGAGGAAGAGGUGGGACAAUACAAGAUGGAAAGAGCCCGUGAGUGGCUGCUACAACAGUCACACCAGCUACUCCUGUACAGGCCAGAAUGGAAGAGAUACAAGACUAUUGAUCAAGUGGGUUGCAAGCCAAUAUUUCUUUGCUUUGAAAUGUUUUCACAGUUGAAAAAAGAAUAAAUAUUCCAUCAAAAUGGAAGAAAGUCAAA